GAAAUGCAGCCGGAGAGCAAAACAACGCUUACCUAGAAGCGGAAACAACUGCUGAGUACAGUUUAUUUACGCCAGUCAGAUUCCCCUUUUGUACCUUGUACUUAUUACGUAGUGUACGAGUAAUUUACUAACCAACAAAGAUAGCCAGAUCUUCAGUAGAGGCGUCCCACCGGGUUAUUGGACAUAUUUUUUCGGUUAAGUGUUGCGAUCCUCGUAAAUUACACUCUCUCUGUUCCAGAACGGAGUAUUAUCAUCCGUAAUCAGGGAAUGCACUUUCGACCACAAUGAAUGUCACCCCCGUCGGUGUUGCUUUAUGCUGAUCCACCGCUUCUCAAAGUCACUCCCGGCGUUCCCGAGCCAUUAUCAAAAUCUGGAGACUUUUGUUUUGUAUACCAUGCUGCUACGCUCCACUCAACGGAUAGAGGAGUUAUUCGUGGAUGGCCCUUAUGUUCUUCAAUAUACCCUUUACUAUCGUCUGCCAAUCGAUCGCCUGGCUGACCGUCACUCUGGCGGUAUUUCGCUUCUGGGCGGUGGUGUUGCCCAAAAAUGACGCGAUGUACUACAAGAUGGCGCUGACGUCCAUUAUUGUCGCGGUAGUCGCGAUAUGCAUUUUUUGAUCUCUAGGAACAGUUUGAAGUCAGGAAAGUGGCAUGAUAUACAUGUAUAUUUUCUUGACGAAGUCGUAUUUGAGUUUCACCAUGAUGCGCCGGAAUACAUGGAUCCAGGAGGUGGCAUCGUGGCGGCGAUGUAAUAUGUACAAGUACAGUAGUGGCGGAUCGGAAUUAUGUCGUGCAACAAUCUGCGCAGUCUGCGAUCCGCAAGUUUCUCAGGUUGUUGUAUGUCAGAUACGAUCCGCAGAAUGUGGAUAACGACCGUCUAUGCGGAUUUUGAAGCCAAACUGCUUCCGUGCUCCUGUCUCUUCAGCCACAGCCAACGGGACGGGAUUUUACAGCGGCUGCAGUAAGGGUCAUCUUCAUCCUUACUGUAGUGAUCUUCAUCCUUACCGACUGUACGACGGGAUUACUGGCGCUCUUUACUUGUUUCUCGAAGUCUCUCCGUGGGCUUGUUCGGCAAUGCCCACGUACCGUUCGGCGAUUUGAUGGAUACACUGCAGUUAGGCAGUCCCCUCGUUUUGAUCAUCUUCUGUUCCCUGAGCGGGGAUAUCCGACGAACGUUUCGUCAGAUGUUGUGGGGCAAAUGAUAAAAGCCAGCGGCGGAAGGACCAGAGCGGGCCGGUUGUUGUAACUUGAAUUAAAUUAAAAAGUUUGUUUCAAAAUCUUAUUCUUCCAUGUUCGCUUCUUAUUGAAGCGAUUUCCCUAUAGCUAUAUGCCGGUUUCUUUGUAUACGGUCAUACACGAUUUUUCUGUGUACGGCAACGCUUUUAAUGGUUCAAGCUACGCUAGGUAAAGAAAAUACAUUUUUAAUAGAAAAUUUUAUUUCUAAGGUUCAAUUUUCAAAAAUGAUUUUAGCGCAAUGUGUAAAGCAGUAGGGAUGAAUGUGUUUUACCAAGAACUCGAAAAAUGUGUUUUACCAAGAACUGUGUCUCGAAAAAAUCCGGAAGUGUGUCCCAACUGGCGGAAAAUUCCAAGCGCCGGACUUAUUCUUUUCUGGAAUACGGUUACCUCUUUUAUCCCCUGGUUAUUGAGACACUGGGAGUUUUUGGCCCUGCCUUCAGUGAAAUGCUGCGUUUCCUGGGCCGCAAGAUUCGGGACAUAACAGGCGAAGCGCGUUCUACUGCUUUUCUCAAGCAGCGUUUUAGUUUAGCUGUUGUUAAAGGAAAUGCUACGGCU